rnacentral:SRP_RNA from 12 species
AUCCUUGCUGAUCCAAGCAGAAGUACUCGAGGAAUCCAAUAAUGUCUUGGAAACUCAGAUCUCGGACUUGGCCCGCCUUGAAGCGAUCCAGCAGAGGCGCUUUAUUAUGGUUUGCCGUGGAGGAGGAGGUGGAGGAAGACAGCAGCGA